AUUUAUUUAAUUUCUAAACCUUCACGCAAUUCCGACCAUCUCCAACCAUCAAUCUGUGUCCGUCACCACCACUGCUCCCUCGUGCCCAUUUCUUCAUUCCAACGCUGUCCCAACUUCCUCCAACGUCAUCUUUUCCAAACCCUCCUUGUGCCCAUCUUUUCCAAACCCUCCCUGUGUCAGCAACCUCCUCGUGCUCGUCUCUUCACUCCAACGCUGAUUGAUGAGUUGAAAACGAUGGUACAACGUCUAGUUGAGGUAAUUUGAUGCUUUUGAUACAAGUACAUAAGUUUAAAUAAGUGAUCGUUGAGCUUAACUAAGUGAUAGUUUAUUAUAACUAAAUGGUCACUUAUAUUUACUAAGGAAUCAUUUAGCUAAAUGAUCGUUUAGCUAAUGAUCAUGCAAAUAUUCUCUUAUAGAAUAGUGAUCACAUGAAUGUUUACGGCAAUGUCACUAAUCAUGAUAGUUAUCACUCCCCGCCCCACGCGUGUCCUGGACUUCGCGAUGUGGUAUGUGACGCUACCUGACCAACCCUAAUGCCUCAAAAUGAAACGCCAAAACACUUAACCUAAGUUCUAAAACUUUAACUUGAUUGCUUAGUUCCAAUCCUAAUAACUUAAUACAAACUCGAUACUUAGAUAUUAGGCAACAAGAAAUAUACAAUGAAAGAUAUCAAUAACAAAGACUUCUUUGAUUCCUUAUGGAGAAAUCUUCCUCUUCGCAGCAAUGAAGGCCAAAGAGGUAAUGAAGGCCAAGGAGCCAUCUGUAAUUCUAAUUAUUUAGUUGUCAACACAUGAAAUAAAAGACAAAAUGUUUAGAUGAACCAAUAAAAUGAUUUGUUGUGAGACCCAAAUCGUGAAUUACCUUACGCAAUAAGAUUACACACGACGAAAGUGGUCCAAGCGAGAAGGAGCACUAGGCGGUAAAAGGCUAAACAAAGAACUCCACCGCGAGAUAGGUUCACUUCUCCAUAAAAGUAAUGACAUCAUUGCCUACAUAAGGAAGUCGGCAAAUGAUUUGACCUCGUAGCCCAAUUAAAAUCUAGGAUAAGGAUAUGACAGAGACACGUGGCGUUUUAGUAUUGGACUUGUUUUCGUUGCCGACAGUAGUAAUCAUUAUGUCAUGGGCAGACUCCACCUGAAAAGGUUAUAACUAGAAGAAUUUCAGUCAUUUUGAGUUUGUUUUUUUAGUCAUAAGUUUUCCUAAGAGAAAUUUGAAGAACUCUGAAGCCUUAGAGAAUCAAAUCAACUGAAAUUCAGCAAGGACCUGCAAGCGAGUGCAAAAAGGGGAACUUGAGUUGAAGGCCAAACACAUAUGUUGGUUGUUUGUCAUUGUGAGUGGUUAUUUGUCAUAAAAAGAAUUUCGAAAGUUUGCUUGAAUGAAUCUGUAAAUGUGCUUCUUUAAGAGAUUAGGAUUAUAUGUCUUUUCCUUUGCGUUUUCUAAUUCCAAAAUGCACCAUCUCAUGCAUGAACUGGACUUACUUGUGUUGAAAUGAAAUGAUCAUACCAUGCA